rnacentral:rRNA from 1 species
UACAGAGGUCCCAAGCGUUGUUCGGAUUCACUGGGCGUAAAGGGUGCGUAGGCGGUCGGGUAAGUCUGAUGUGAAAUCUCACAGCUUAACUGUGAAACUGCAUUGGAUACUAUCCGGCUCGAGGAAUGGAGGGGAGACUGGAAUACUUGGUGUAGCAGUGAAAUGCGUAGAUAUCAAGUGGAACACCAGUGGCGAAGGCGGCAUCCUGGACCGAGAUUGACGCUGAGGCGCGAAAGCCAGGGGAGCAAACGGG